rnacentral:rRNA from 1 species
AUUGAACGCUGGCGGCAGGCCUAACACAUGCAAGUCGAGCGGAUGAAGGGAGCUUGCUCCUGGAUUCAGCGGCGGACGGGUGAGUAAUGCCUAGGAAUCUGCCUGGUAGUGGGGGAUAACGUCCGGAAACGGGCGCUAAUACCGCAUACGUCCUGAGGGAGAAAGUGGGGGAUCUUCGGACCUCACGCUAUCAGAUGAGCCUAGGUCGGAUUAGCUAGUUGGUGGGGUAAAGGCCUACCAAGGCGACGAUCCGUAACUGGUCUGAGAGGAUGAUCAGUCACGCUGGAACUGAGACACGGUCCAGACUCCUACGGGAGGCAGCAGUGGGGAAUAUUGGACAAUGGGCGAAAGCCUGAUCCAGCCAUGCCGCAUGUGUGAAGAAGGUCUUCGGAUUGUAAAGCACUUUAAGUUGGGAGGAAGGGCAGUAAGUUAAUACCUUGCUGUUUUGACGUUACCAACAGAAUAAGCACCGGCUAACUUCGUG